rnacentral:lncRNA from 1 species
UUUACGUUGAAAAAUGAAGAAUUAAGGGCUUGAGGAAUUGUCUUGCUCACUUUAGCACCCUGGCAUCUAGCACUCAGACUGGCACAGCAUAGGUUCUCUGUAAAUAUUUAAGUGAAAAGCCUAUAUUCUUUUCUGCUUUGAGCAUAGAGUCUCUUAUUUAAGGCACACUUUUUUAGCAAAUUUGGCCUGCUUUCUAGGGUAUAGCUGAUUAGAAAUGACAGCCUCCAAGAUAAAUAGAGGACCUGCUAAAGGCUCUCAUUCAAUGACAGCAGCAAUAGUUACAUUAUUGUCUUAAUUAAUUUGGCCCUCAUGCCAAUCUGUUAUUCCACAAACAUUUAUUGAGCACCUACUAUCUGCACAGAAUUCCUUUCUUUAAAGAGUUUAAAUAUAAUCCUUAUUUAUAAAUGAGAACACAGAUUCAGAAAAGUGAUUCACUCAGGUUAUAUACAGAAAUCGGUGGAAAGGCUGAGAUUCUUAUCUCAUGCUGUUCACCACCCCACAAGGCUUUUUAACAGUUGAUAAAUAUUUGAAUUAUUAUGGUCUGUGUGGCAGACAUACAGGUAGACUGGCAGGCAGAAAGAAAGAAAAGGCAGUAGGCAGGUAAAUUGGCAGUCAGGUAAGCAGGGAUGUAGGUCUACUGGUCUCAUGAGAAUCAGUUGGAUUGCUAGAGGCAAACAUGGAUCUCAGAGAGAAGUGAGUGCUCACAGCAGAACAAGGACGGUGGAGACAGAAACACUACAAAACCAGACCCAAACCUCUGCUGUACAUUACAGCCUAAAACAGGCCUUGAGUCUUCAAGAACGUUUAAAUU